UAUAUGAAAAUAAUAAAUUAACACCUUUUAAGUCAAAAAAUGAUAAAUAUUCAUGUUUUAUCUAAUUAACUUUAAAUGUUAAUUAAGAUUUUACGAAAAUAAAUGGGGAAAAAAAAAAAAACAAAUAUAGGGAGCCAUUUUCCGUCAAUCUUCAUCUUUUUAUCAACAAUCUUUUUCUACCACCAUCUCAUAGUAACUCCUUUUUCCACCGCCCUUCCAAAACGCCGCUAUCUUUUUCCCUUUUUUUUUUUUUCGUCCUCUUAUGGGAAUCUCACCACUUCAAUGUAAUUCAACAAUAAUCUCAUCGAAGUGACAGUCCGAGAUUCAGAUCUUCUCUAGUUUUAGCCACCAAUCUUGCUCAUUCUAUGCAUCUAACACGACCUCUUUCCAUGAUUCAGUCAAGAACCCAUGUUUAAUCACUUUUCUUCAAUUACGAGUUCAUUUUCUUCUUCUUAAGAUUGCGGAAGGGGAAGUUAAAACAAGAUACAAGAAGCUGGCCAAAGACCAGCAGCCAUUUGGAGGACAUCAAGCCGGGUGAGCUCAACCAGCCCUUUGAGGUACACGAUUACAGUGAUCUGGUUAACAUUAUUUUUUGGUCAACGAUUGAUUUGAGGCUUAAUUUCAUUGAAAUAUGCUAUGGAUUUGAUUUCUAAUCAUGGUAACCAUGUGGGUAAAUGGUCAGUUAGAAUGUUCGUAAAUGCAAAGAAUGCACAAAGGCUUUACAUGAAAAUUUUGAGCCUCUUGCUGAUGAACCUUGGUUUUGGUCAUUUUGGAUAAUAAAAAAGCACGAAAGUUCUUGGAUUCAGUUUGGUAUCCAAUGUUUGAGGAGGAGAAGGAUGGUGAGGUGAGACGAACAGUGGAGUAACAGUAAAGGGUAUUAUUGUAUUUGACAAGGAUUUUUUUGUCUUUUUAUUCUUUUGCCUUAAGUUGUACCAGACUUUGUAAAUAGAACUUGAUCGAAAAUGAGAAUUUGCCCUUUCUCAAA